AUAAAAUAAGCAAAAAUAUUCCAAUUAUUAGGCAAUUAAUUUGUAAAUAAUUAAACUUAAUAUUUCAUUUUUGUAUAUUGAGUGAAUUACAGUGACUUUGCUGUUUUUAGCCUAAUUAAAAUUUAUUUUUAAAAAAUUUUGAAGUUAAAUUUGAAUUUGCUCAAGUCAGUCAAAUAAAAGGUUAUUUUCAGAGGUUUUAUAUAAAAAUUUUAAAAAAUUCUGAAUUGAAAUAAAAUUAUUAGCAAAUGAAUUUACAUAUACUAAGCACAGAAAAGUUGUUUCAAUAAAAAAAUUUUCUUUUCAGUAUGCUAAUUAUUCAUAAUUUUUUGUAAAAUACUAUAUAUAACUUAUGCUCUCAUUCAGAAUUGUAAGGACUGAAUGGACCAAGAUUGUCACUUAUUAUUGUUAUAGUCUUGUUAAAAGAUUUUGCUUCCUUGUCACUAAUGAAGUAGAAUUCACUUCCAUUGAAGGAAGUAAGAAUUUAUCUAAGUUCCACAUCAAUACAAAAUUAGGAAAAGAGAAGUCAGAUCAGUGCGAGACAUUCACUUAUUAUCUGAUUAAAUAUGCCCCUAACUGCAGGAAAUCCCUUAUCCACAACAACAGAUGCAUAAAAAUAUAUAUGUAUAGAAGUCUGAAAGCGAAGGAGUGAAGCGGGCACAAGAAAGCCAGAGAAAAGUGUGGAUGAACAGUUUGCUCUCACAGGAAGUCAGAGGUUGAUCGCCGCAGUCCAAGCCGUGAACAUUACUGCAAUGUGAUCCAAGUCAACCAUUGGCCUCUCCACUGAAACUCUGAGAUCAUCAUAGGCCAAUAGUGCUUUGAUAGUGUUCUGUUGUUUGUGUUGGCAUGGACUAAAGAUUACUAAUUAAGAAUUAAAGAUUAUUGUGAGUUUCACCAACACCGUUAUCCAUCAAGACUACCCAGUGAUUUCAUCAGUUAAAGACAGAAAAAAGUAUUUAUCCUCCUGGCACUGCAACAUUAAGCCUAACAUUGCUGCAGUUGUUCAUGUAAAGGAAUCUCUCUCAAUAAGGAUCUGUGGUAUGUGUAAACUGUUGCUGUCCCCAGUGAUUGUGUCAGAGAUUUCACUCUGCCAUUCUUACACACACGACUUUGUCACAAUUAAUUGCUUAGGCUAAUGCCUGUAUGGUUCAUCUUGGCAGAUUCAUAGAAUUAUUAAUAAUAAGUUAUUUAUUAUUUUACAGAAAUUAGAGAGUAUAUUGAAGGAAACUGCAACGUUAGUUUGAAAAAACUUUGAUAAUUUUUAUUAGAACUGUUGAAUUUGAAUUUGUUCAGAAAAUGGCAUUGUGGGAUUUUUUUGCAU
rnacentral:lncRNA from 1 species